CUGCGAAAGCCGGAUUAAUACCGCAUACGCUCGAGAGAGGAAAGCGGGGGAUCUUCGGACCUCGCGCUCAAGGGGCGGCCGAUGGCGGAUUAGCUAGUUGGUGGGGUAAAGGCCUACCAAGGCGACGAUCCGUAGCUGGUCUGAGGGGACGACCAGCCACACUGGGACUGAGACACGGCCCAGACUCCUACGGGAGGCAGCAGUGGGGAAUUUUGGACAAUGGGGGCAACCCUGAUCCAGCAAUGCCGCGUGUGUGAAGAAGGCCUUCGGGUUGUAGAGCACUUUUGUCCGGAAAGAAAUCCUCUGGGUUAAUACCUCGGGGGGAUGACGGUACCGGAAGAAUAAGCACCGGCUAACUACGUGCCAGCAGCCGCGGUAAUACGUAGGGUGCGAGCGUUAAUCGGAAUUACUGGGCGUAAAGCGUGCGCAGGCGGUUUGCUAAGACCGAUGUGAAAUCCCCGGGCUCAACCUGGGAACUGCAUUGGUGACUGGCAAGCUAGAGUAUGGCA
rnacentral:rRNA from 1 species